rnacentral:rRNA from 1 species
UACGGAGGGUGCAAACGUUGCUCGGAAUCAUUGGGCGUAAAGCGCACGUAGGCGGUCCACUAAGUUGGAUGUGAAAGCCCCGGGCUCAACCCGGGAAGUGCAUACAAAACUGGUGGACUUGAAUAUGGAAGAGGGUCGCGGAAUUCCCGGUGUAGAGGUGAAAUUCGUAGAUAUCGGUAGGAACACCAGUGGCGAAGGCGGCGACCUGGGCCAAUAUUGACGCUGAGGUGCGAAAGCGUGGGGAGCAAACAGG